AACAAGGUUUCCGUAGGUGAACCUGCGGAAGGAUCAUUAACAUUAAUUUACUACACACUGUUUUUUUACAACUAAACAAAUCUAUCUAAAAAACAAUUCUUUACAAGAAAUUCUUAAAACUUUCAACAACGGAUCUCUUGGUUCUCGCAUCGAUGAAGAACGCAGCGAAAUGCGAUACGUAAUACGAAUCGCAGCUCUCGGAAUCAUCGAAUCUUUGAACGCACAUUGCACCAUUGGGUAUUCCCAAUGGUAUGCUUGUUUGAGCGAAUACUUCCCUAAUCCUCACGGAUUGUAUUGUGUUUGCACGAAAAUAAUGACGACAGUACUCUACAAAACGGUACCGUCAGUACACUCAUUUUUUUUCCUCAAAUCAAGUAGGACUACCCGCUGAACUUAAGCAUAUCAAUAAGCGGAGGAAAA
rnacentral:rRNA from 1 species